rnacentral:rRNA from 1 species
AGUGAACGCUGGCGGUAGGCCUAACACAUGCAAGUCGAACGGCAGCACAGUAAGAGCUUGCUCUUACGGGUGGCGAGUGGCGGACGGGUGAGGAAUACAUCGGAAUCUACUUUUUCGUGGGGGAUAACGUAGGGAAACUUACGCUAAUACCGCAUACGCCCUACGGGUGAAAGCAGGGGAUCUUCGGACCUUGCGCGAUUGAAUGAGCCGAUGUCGGAUUAGCUAGUUGGCGGGGUAAAGGCCCACCAAGGCGACGAUCCGUAGCUGGUCUGAGAGGAUGAUCAGCCACACUGGAACUGAGACACGGUCCAGACUCCUACGGGAGGCAGCAGUGGGGAAUAUUGGAAAAUGGGCGCAAGCCUGAUCCAGCCAUACCGCGUGGGUGAAGAAGGCCUUCGGGUUGUAAAGCCCUUUUGUUGGGAAAGAAAAGCAGCAGGUUAAUACCCCGCUGUUCUGACGGUACCCAAAGAAUAAGCACCGGCUAACUUCGUG